rnacentral:tRNA from 1 species
UCCGGUGUGGCCGAGAGGUAAGGCGUCGCAUUGUUAAUGCGAUGGAUGGAGGUUCGAGUCCUCCCGCCGGAG